UACGUAGGGGGCAAGCGUUACUCGGAUUCACUGGGCGUAAAGCGCGUGUAGGCGGCUGGUCAAGCGUGGUGUGAAAUCUCCGGGCUCAACCCGGAAACUGCACCGCGAACUGGCCUGGCUGGAGUGCAGGAGAGGGAAGGGGAAUUCCCGGUGUAGAGGUGAAAUUCGUAGAUAUUGGGAAGAACACCGGUGGCGAAGGCGGCUCACUGGCCCGUAACUGACGCUGAGGUGCGAAAGCGUGGGGAGCAAACAGG
rnacentral:rRNA from 1 species